rnacentral:ncRNA from 2 species
CACAGCUGUUUCGAUCCGGGUUCCCCGCCAUGCGACCGCGUGGAGGGGUGAAACGGGAAGUCCGGUGACGUUCGGGGACACGCUCCCCCGACCAGUCCGGCGCAGCCCCCGCUGCUGUAAGCCUGACGGAUCCACCACACGCCACUGAGCCUUGCGCUCGGGAAGGCGGCGGAGUCCGGGAGAAGGCAAGCCAGAAGACCGGCCCGAUCGAGUAUGCAGUU